GCUUGCACCUUUUGACCUUGGGAAAUUCCCAGAAGCUAAGCCUAAUUAUCCCUGGUUAUUAUUUGCAAGGGAGAUGACCAAAAAAUUCUUGUGCUGCAGGCU
rnacentral:rRNA from 1 species